AAUCAAUGCUCCAAUCCCGUAAAACGCCCCCAUUACUAUCUCAUAAACAGUGGUCUGGAGUGCCUCUGGCUGGUCCGAGUACAAAAUCAGCUUAUGAAGUAUAGGAGCUGCACCUGACACACCCAUCCCAAAGAAGAGAGAAGCACGAAAAGUGCGAUACUCAGGAUUCUGGAAAACUGGAAGGAGAGAGAAAAUAAUGGUGGCAAUCCCAAAUAUUGUUAUAAAGCCCAAGUAGAGCCUGCAAAAGAAGGGGUUGCACAUAAAUGAGUAGUAGACAGGAGGGUAGAAGGAGGUGGAGAUGAGGGCCGCGAUGCCUGCAUAGUCAAGUCUGAGCAUUAUGUAGGAAAGGCGCUCUGAGUGGCAAGAGAGGAGGUGGCAUAUGCUGCUUGAUAGCAAACAGAACAUUGCACCGCCUAAGAAGGCAAAAAAGGGCCAUCUUGUGAUUGGCUGGAACAUCAGGGGAGCUAUCAAGUUUGCUGCACCUUCUUUCACUGCACACUGAAAUUAAUCAAACAAAAGGUCAACCAAAAGGCUUCAGUGACAGACAAUAUCGAAGCAUAAAAGCAAAAUUCAUCUAAUAGAUAAGCACAUCCUCACAAGCCCACAAAACUGUUUGAAAGAAGCAUUCACUGCAUAUGAAUGUGAAAAGUUACAAUCUCAGCUCAUUGUUGAGACUAUCUCGAACGACAAUGAAGCAUAAAAGAAAUUUUCUACUCAUAGAGAAACAAAUUCUCAUAAACUCACAAGACUGUUUGGAAGAAGCAUUUCACUGCAUGUAAAAUGUGAACAGUUUCAAUCUCAUUCGUAGUUGAGACUAUCACACAUAAUGCAUAAAAUGACAGGAUUGCAGUAAAAUAUCUUAACAAACUCUAAUCUAGGCACUAAACACAGUCUUAAAUGAACAUGUACGUGUAUGUGUGCGUGCGUGCGUGUGUUUGUGUGUAUCAGAGAGAGAAAGAUUAUAGAACAGGGAAAAAUAGAAACAAAUAAAGAUCUUUAAAUGGUUCCAUUAUGAAAGGCUGCACUGCAGAAACUUAAUACUAUACAAACACUAAAGCCAACAAUAGUUAAAGCAAAAAAUGCCAAGAUGCUGAUAAACGUGUUGUUUUGACGAGAAUAGAUCUGCCCAAAUUCUCUAGCCCAGUGUCUACUAGGAGUACAACCCAAACCAAACUGAUUCAGAUUACAAGCAAACAGGUGGUCAACCACAUAACCAGUCAUUUCUGAUCUUGGUACCAGUACAAUUUCAGAAGGACGUUCCUAUCAAAAACAAGUUGAGGAGGAUGCAGUACAUGACCACAAUAACAAUCAGCAGUCUACCAUAUUGAGAAUUUUUCCAGCAUUGAAAUAUUACUAGGAGAACAUGUUUACUUUCCAAUACAUUUUUAAGGAGGGAAACAAUUUGAGUUUCUCUCAGACUGAAGUUAAAAUUCUCAUGAGUAGUUGUCCAUUACAAAUGUUUCAUGAUAAUUUUACCAUGUUUCAAUUUCUCAUGUGAAAAAGAUCCAGCUGUCAAUUCGUUGGGUCUGUAACUCUCUAAAACUUCUUUUUUAUAGGCACCAUUAGCUAUAAAAGUAAAAGAAUGACAUUCUCAUGACCAUCAAAUAAAGUUUAAUAAAUAAGCAAAGCACUUUUAUAAGAUUAUCGUUGGGAACAAUGAAAAGGAACAGUAUCUUACCAGAACACAAUCACUUGUUUGAUUGGUAGGCGAAAACCGCUCAGGCAAGCAGUUGGACAGAAGUUCUAAAACAUGCCAACCUGAAAGUGAUGAGAGAAAAUCCAUUGAAGGCAAAGACGUCUUUAACUCAUCUGUUAAUCUAUUAAGAUUAGGCAUGUUGGGUAAGGAAGGCA
rnacentral:lncRNA from 1 species